CAACACUCAGUCAGAGGAGCUAGCAUCUUCAUCAGCUUUAGACUCAGAACUGCCACUUGAUUUAUCUUGAGAUUCAGACCUCUCACUAGAGGUGCGGGGUCUGUUUCCUUGGCUUGACCAACAUCAUCUCUAUCUCCUUGCUCCAAGCUAUUAAUCAGAACCUCCAAAGCUUCUUUCCUAGCUUUAGCCACCCUUAUCCCAGUCUCUAAUUCCUU
rnacentral:lncRNA from 1 species